rnacentral:tRNA from 1 species
GGCAAGUAGGGCGAUGGUCGCCGGAUCGGACUCGAACGCGUUAUUGGCCUCCGAAGCCAAAGGUCGCAGGUUCGAAUCCUGCCAGGGUCA